rnacentral:lncRNA from 1 species
AUAAUGUAGAUAAUCUUCUUAACUAAAAUUGUAGCUAAGUGAUACACAUUUCUACAGUGAUCGGUUAUGGCCUUCAUAAUAAUCUCGAAUCUCACAAAUAUCAUACUUCGUAAUAGGCGCGACUUAAUCUAUCAUCGUGAUUAUGUGCACGUUCGUAUGACAUGAUUAUGAUCCUAAUAAUAAAAUCGAGGUAUGCGUUCGCGCAACUUCG